rnacentral:hammerhead_ribozyme from 1 species
AGCCGAAACAGGGGGACAGUCCCCUGUCUGCCGGGGAUGACCUACCGGCACCGAUGAGGCAGGUCAGA